GCAAAAUCAUCAGGGGAGUCAGAAGGAACACUUGUGACCACACCAGUGCCUUAUAAGAGAAAGUAUGGAAUGAGUUCAUACAACCAGAAUGCAAUUACCAAAGAACUUCUAGAAAGAAAGCAAGAAACCCUUUACCUUUAUCCUCCUUAAUGGUGAGCAUUGGAAGAACAUGGAUCACCUUAUAAGAUGUUAAAGGUGCAGAAAGCGACACACCGAGCAUUUCCUGUACAACAAAAAGAUCAGCAUAAAAGGAAUGUAAAAGGAACUGAUGUCAGGCAUGGCUAGAGAGCAGUGUAUUCUCCAGGGAGCCCUCAUCAACAAUGAGCCUGCAGACGGAUGAGAGGCAGCUGGUCCUAGGACCAUGCACAAGGUCCGAGACAAGACACAGAGCCUUACAGUAACACUGUGUCCCUCUUCACAGCGACCAGAAUACACCUCAGCACUUGAAUAAAAUUAUUUUUAGGUUCCUGAUCUAUUCCGUAAACUCUAUGGCCAUAGUAAGAAUUAUUAUAAUAGCUACUCUACGUCACAAAUCAUUACCUCUCCAGUUUG